rnacentral:tRNA from 1 species
GGACAGAUGGCCGAGCGGUCCAAGGCGCCAGACUAAGGAGACCAGGCCAUCAGAUGGCUUGCAUUCAUCUGGUCUCAUUGAGGCGUGAGUUCGAAUCUCACUCUGUUCA